UCUGGUGGCGAUGCGCUUAGGGGAAACACCCGUUCCCAUCCCGAACACGACGGUUAAGACCUAAGCGGCCGAUGGUACUGCACUGGAGACGGUGUGGAAGAGCAGGUGGCCGCCAGAUU
rnacentral:rRNA from 1 species